rnacentral:rRNA from 1 species
GUGCUUGCACUGAUCCAAUCGAGUGGCGGACGGGUGAGUAACGCGUGGGUAACCUGCCUCAUACAGGGGAAUAACAGUUGGAAACGGCUGCUAAAACCGCAUAAGCGCACAGUAUCGCAUGAUACAGUGUGAAAAACUCCGGUGGUAUGAGAUGGACCCGCGUCUGAUUAGCUAGUUGGUGAGGUAACGGCCCACCAAGGCAACGAUCAGUAGCCGGCCUGAGAGGGUGAACGGCCACAUUGGGACUGAGACACGGCCCAAACUCCUACGGGAGGCAGCAGUGGGGAAUAUUGCACAAUGGGGGAAACCCUGAUGCAGCGACGCCGCGUGAGUGAUGAAGUAUUUCGGUAUGUAAAGCUCUAUCAGCAGGGAAGAUAAUGACGGUACCUGACUAAGAAGCACCGGCUAAAUACGUGCCAGCAGCCGCGGUAAUACGUAUGGCGCAAGCGUUAUCCGGAUUUACUGGGUGUAAAGGGUGCGUAGGUGGUGAGACAAGUCUGAAGUGAAAAUCCGGGGCUUAACCCCGGAACUGCUUUGGAAACUGCCUGACUAGAGUACAGGAGAGGUAAGUGG